rnacentral:lncRNA from 1 species
UUUAGAGAAUCGUGCUGAUAACGUGUUAUAGACUAGAGAGAAUAGAGAGGGAACUGGGAUGCUUUAUUCAUUAGGUUAAAGCCAUAUAUAUAGGUUAAUACAAAGGAGGUUACAAGUAAACCCUAAUACAAGUUACACCUCCAUAACAUUGGGCCGGACCGGGCUUGAUAUGGGCCGGGCCUUACUGGGCUUGUUAUGACAAUCCACUAUGAUUCAUAACAAAUUAGCAUUUUUUGCAAAUUAAAAAGAGAAUCUUAUCUUAUUGUAAAUACAAAAUUAUUUAAUCAAAAUCCAUCAUUAAUCUUUAAAGUAAAUAGAUUGUAAAUACUUCCAUCUAUAUAUAUUAGAUAGUGUGUGUCAUAUAUUUUUCAACCAACAAAAAUAUUUUUUCAACCUUAUUGUGUUGGUAAAAUUUCCUUCUUUGUUGUUUAUUUUUCUUGGGAUUACAGCACAAUGUUUUCUAAUGCAUGCUAUGCAAUGCUUGUUACAAGUAAUACGUAAUAAACCUCUAAAAUUGGUCAGAAUUUUAUUAUAUAAAGCUUGUUUUCCAAGAUAGACAUGUGUCAAAUGAAAGAUAUCAUAUCUAAUUUUGUUAAAAAAUUUAGAUAAAAUUAAAAAAAAUCUUAGCCAUAUUGAAGAAAUAUAUAAUAAGUUUUUACAAAAUUUUUUUUUAUAAUCAAACUUUUUAAUUUAUAAAUUAAAGUAAUAACCUAAUAUUUUGGUUAUUACAGUUUAGGUUUAUCAAGAACAUUAUGAUCUAAUUACUAACAUAAACAAUUUUCUAAUAUUUCUAAAAGAUAUUUGGAUAUCAUUCUCUUAUAAUAAAGUUUUAAUUUUACUUUGAACAUAGAUAACCCGUCUGAUAAGCUAGUAUAACUCUAAAUUUAUGGUAGAAUAGUAGAAUUAGGGGUGGCGUUCGGGUACCAAUUCAGGUUUGGGCCGGGUUGUUCGGGGUUUUUGGGGUUUCGGGUAUAAAUACAGUUUGGAUCGGCUUCGGGUAAACAUCCAUCGGGUUUGGGUGUUUUUGGGUUAUACCCAACCUCUUAAAAUAUAUUUGAGAAUUUUUGAGAAAUGUCGUUUUUGAUGUACCCCUUUUCAGACAUAUCCCUUUUCAUGAAAUAAAUCGGGAUCUUUUUCCGGUUAAAUAUGAUUAUUCUCGGCUUAUGCGUCUCAUGCAAUUAUGCAAACAUGUCGUCGAGCUUCAGUUAACAAAAAUUAUCAUAAUUAUAUAUGGCUUGAGGAGGAACAAUAUAUAUAAACCUAUAUAAUCUCUAGACAUUGGGACAUUUGGGGACAGCAAUUUUACACCACCAAAGCAUUCUAUGAGCAGCUGAUCCUAAGUUUCGUUCCUUGGCCGUAAGGAACCUACACAUACAUGAUGUUGAUUUUUUCAGUUUCUCACAACAUCCAUUAGGUAGUUUGCCUCCUUGACCGUUAACUAGAAAGGGUUGGACGCAAGCUAGAAGCUCUAGAUUGCAAAAUGGUAGCUCCUUUUUGGCAUCAACGACUUUGAUCGAAGCCGGAUCUGAUAUCAUGAUCGCGAAGAGUAUGAUUGGAAUGAUCUUCAUGUCUAAGGAAUCACAGUAUAAAAACAAGAUGAAUGUAAAUCUAUAUUUUUUCCUUUUGAUAGUAAAGAGAAAAGUUCGGAGACAAUAGAGUUAAUAGAAAUUCCUAUUUUUUUUUUGGUAAUGAUAGAAAUUCCUAUUGUUAGCUCUAUUUUCAACUUUAUAAAACGUGUUGUCAUCUCCUUAUCUAUGCCCUAGGAAUUAGGAAAUGUAAUAUGCAUCAAUGCAUGUGUAAAGAAAGGUGAUGAGAUUGACCAAAACUUGAUACUAAAGGCUUUGAGAAUUGAGAUGAGCUUUUUUUUGCUCACACUUGGGUUUGAGACAAUUGCUCAACUCUCUAUUUCCCUUAAAUCUAAAUCGUACGUACUGUCUUAAAAGAAGAUAUACAUUGACUUAACCGAAGUCUACAUUUUCUUCUUCCACUACAACUGCGAAUGAUCAUAUAUAUAACACUCUUAUAUGGAGUAACAGGUCAAUUAUAGAUUAAAUAAUAUAUUUCCUGCCGACUUAAGCUCGUGUAGCUCCACUUCGUUGCUCACGUUGAAGGGACUUCCGCCUCACCUUUUCGUCACUCGUCAUUUUAUAUCUUUUUCUUACUGCUCUUGCUUAUUGCCAUGUUUUGCUUAGGGCAUUACGUGGCAUCUUAGUCAGUAUUUAUUGACGGAACAGUAAGGUUUCGUCCGAAUUUACAUUGUUUGUGUAGGAAAUUCAAAUAUUGGUCAAGUUCAUGUAGUUUUAGACACGACUGAAAAUUUUGUGUAUAAAUACGAUCAAAUAACUAAGUUUGUGGAGGAAUAUGCCGUUUUUCCGUCUCUUUAUCGAGCCCAAUUCAUACCCUUGCUAUAAGUUCUACCGUUUUUGUUUUAGUGAUGAUUUGAAGAUCGAAUGUUUCUGCUUCCAUAUUUUUACCUUUUUUGGCAUGAGACCAUGUAAUUAGGAUUCACAUCCUAAACUUUUUAUUUUUUGAAAUGAUAUUUACAUUCUUAUACAAAACAAUAGUGUAGACGGGCAUCUAUACAAAUGCAAAAUAAAAUAUAUUUUUUUUGUAAUAGAAUAAUAGUGUAGUAAAUAAUAAACUCAAAACUUGUGGGCUGAGUAAUCUGGAUCAUUAUGUUAUCGAUAUGUGAUCUGUGAUCUGGCUAACAUGGCUUUGCACAUUUUUUUUUUGAAUUUAAUGUUAAAUUAUAUUAAAAAAAAAUAUAGCGUUUGUACACUAGUGCAACAUAUGAUUGAUCGUUGAAGCUGAAUUUUUCUUUAAAAAAAAGUUAACUACGAGAAAGAAACCAUCGCUGGAAACCGUCGUUGUAGCGGCAAUCUCCAAGAUUCUGAAUGGCCAUAAGCUGAUCUUUGUGUGGUACUUCAAUUUAUAGAAGUCUAUCCACCCAAUUAGUCGUGCGGCCGAGUUCGGGGAUUCUCCAUGAAUUCUACCAUUUUGUUCUCUCCAUAUUGCAUAAAGGACUGCUAGGAACACAUAUCUGUAGAGGAAACUAUCAAUACGGUCUUGGUGGGACUGCGAAACAUACUCCAAUAAUGUUGACCAGUUGGUUAUGUAGUUCGUUUUGAAUAGACCCUUAGCUAUUACUUGCCAAACUUCUGAAGCGUAGUUACAGUCGAAUAACAAGUGAUCCUGAGUUUCAUAUAGCAUGAAGCAAAUGGAUCGAUUACGAAUUCUUUAUUUUUUGAUAAGCUUAUAUAUAUAUAUAGGAUUUUAGUNNNNNNNNNNNNNNNNNNNNNNNNNNNNNNNNNNNNNNNNNNNNNNNNNNNNNNNNNNNNNNNNNNNNNNNNNNNNNNNNNNNNNNNNNNNNNNNNNNNNCAAGAUAUUCAACUUUUUUGGAACGAAUUUUCCAUUCAUAUUGUUUGGAAGGAAUGCUCCAUUCAUAUCUGUAAACCCCCACCAGAAAGUUAAUAUACGUCUCAUCGUUUAUCUGCAUAUGAGAAUCCAAGGCAAAGAUAAAAUACAAACUUGUGCAUUUUUUAUGGGUAAUAUAUCAAGGCAAUACAACAUUGAAUUCCAAACAUGUACUUUAGCAAGAUUAUCACAAAAAAGUUAAACAAUGACAUCGUCAAAUGAAACUCAACCGUUANNNNNNNNNNNNNNNNNNNNNNNNNNNNNNNNNNNNNNNNNNNNNNNNNNNNNNNNNNNNNNNNNNNNNNNNNNNNNNNNNNNNNNNNNNNNNNNNNNNNAAUAUUUCUUUCAUGUAUCUCUGUCAAUAAAUAAUCAUCACCAAACGGAGUCUUGAAUCUCACGAGAUAAAUUGGGACCUUUUUUAAUAUGCAGCACUUAUCAUGGGUACGAUACUUAGGUUUUCCAUUCAAGCGGUGGUUGCCAUUGUAGACAAACAUAGGGAUAUGAGUUUUGAUGCCUAAGCCGGGAGAAUCACGUGGCGAAGGAACAACAGACCGCCAUGAGCUGCAGACAGAUCGUAAGAGAACAAUCUCGAAAGAUGUCUCAAAACGACCAACAAUUAGUUCUAGUAAGUCUGUGGGAAGCAACGACCAAUCUGCCAUAGUUAGAUUCGAUGGGAGGGAGCAAUACUUAAGAGGUAAGGAUAUUGAAAAUGAAGAUAUAUGAAAUGUUAGAGUAAAGAAUUUCACAUUUAUAGUAGAUUUUUUUUUAUGAAAUAAAGAAAGAUAUAAAGUUAAAAAUGAAGAAACAAAUCCAUCUUUAAUGAAAAUUUGGAUAUUCACUUUUAUUACCCUAUUGAAAACAUAGAAAGAAAUUAUAUCUUAUUAUAUAAACUUUUAUUUUCAAUGUUAGUCAUAGACCAACAUUAUAGGGGUAUCUUGCAUAAGAUCUUUUCUUUGAAAAUCUGGAGAUACCCCCUAUAAUGUUGCUCUAACAAAAUCAUGACACGUGCAGUGUUAAGUCCAUCAAUGAGAUGUUAACACGUGUCAAAAUAAUAUAAAAAAGAAAAUUAUGUUAUAGACUAGAGAGAAUAGAGAGGGAACUGGGAUGCUUUAUUCAUUAGGUUAAAGCCAUAUAUAUAGGUUCAUACAAAGGAGGUUACAAGUAAACCCUAAUACAAGUUACACCUCCAUAACAUUGGGCCGGACCGGGCUUGAUAUGGGCCGGGCCUUACUGGGCUUGUUAUGACAAUCCACUAUGAUUCAUAACACUCCCCCUUGGAUGUCAUAACCUUCGUGAGCUAGUAAUACGCUUGGGGAUGUUGCCUCAUUAAAACCUUACCAGGAAAACCCAUUGGGAUAAAACCGUGGUGAAGGAAAAAGAGUACAACACGUAUUACUCCCCCUCAUUUGAAGCUCACUGAAGAUCUUUAAGCCGUCGCAUUCCAAUCUGCUUGAUAAGCUUCUUGAGCGUUGAAGUUGGAAGCGAGAUCCGCCGAGUUGUCACAUGAUUGAACUUGUUCGACUUGGACUUCUCCGGCUUUCUGUAAUUCAUGAGUGAAGAACUUUGGCAAGAUGUGCUUCGUCCUAUCUCCUUUGAUGUAUCCAUCUUUGAGCUGAGCUAUGCAGGCAGCAUUGUCCUCAUACAUUAUUGUUGGUGCUGCCUUCCCUUCGGUCAUCCCACAAUCGAUCAUAAUAUGUUGAGUCAUAGACCUCAACCAAACGCAUUCACGGCUGGGCUCAUGCAUCGCCAAGAUUUCAGAAUGGUUGGACGAUGUUGCUGCGAUCGUUUGCUUUUGAGAGCGCCAAGAUAUUGCCGUUCCACCGUACGUGAAAACAUAGCCAGUUUGUGAUCGACCAUUGUGCGGAUCCGAGAGAUAACCUGCAUCAGCAAAACCAACUAAUCCCUCCUUGGGAUGGUUAGUAUAAAAUAAACCCAAAUCUUUCGUACCUUAUAGAUAUCGAAGAAUAUGUUGUAAUCUCGUCCCAGUGCCUUUGGGUUGGACAAUGAGCUAAAUCUAGAUAAUAGAUUCACGGCAAAACAUAUAUCUGGCCAAGUGUGGCUUGCCGGAUACAUUAAAGCUCUUAUGACACUGAGGUAUGGCUUUAUGGACUGAAUGGAUCACUAUCCAAUUUUAAGCUUCUCACCACCAUUGGGCCUGGUCAAUGGGCGGGCCUAGUCCUUAUAAAUUUCCUUUGAGUACCCUUUAUUGUAUGCCAUUUGAUGCACAAGGAUUUCAUUAUUUAUGUACUCAAGGUGUAAUUCCAAACAGGACUUAUUUAUUGCCUAGGUCUUUCAACUGUUUGGUCGAUUACCCAGAGGUUCAUAUACACUGCUUAUGAUUACAAAUCCUUUGUUUGCAAACCUCUUUAUGAGUAUUCAUGGACUGAUGGGAUCGUUUAUAAUCUUACAUACGCCCAUUUAUUCUAAGUCCAUGAAAGGAUUUGUCCAGCCUUAUGCGCAGUGAUGUUCUCGAGAACCUUUCUUAUAUUUGAGCUCAAUACUCUCUGGUAAUCUCUUAUAUUAUCCAGUGGACUUAUAUAAAUAUGCAGGCAUUACAUCCAUUAGCCGCAAAUGAAGUCUUUUCAUUUAUAUAGCCAGACUUAGCAUCCACCACAUGGGAGCAUAUCUCCUCAUAAUAUAUUCAUGGUCUAUGUGAGGAUCCUUGUGCAAUAUGCCGUGCUUUAUAUCUCACGAUAUCACCAUAUUUAUUUAUUUUCCUCACAAAGACCCAUUUAUGUCCAACUGGCUUUAUGUCGAGAGGUGGCCUUAUACAUUCCUCUUCUCCACAUAUUUAAUCCAAUAUGUGCACUGAGUGCAUUCUUAUUAUGGACGUGGGUUAUCUCCACAUAUUUAAUCCAAUCUGUGCAUUGAGUGCAUUCUUUUAUGGACGUGGGUUAUAGAUCCUCGCUUAUCAAUUUUAUUUCAAGUGCUACCUUGUAUGCAAAUAUAUUGUCGACGUCGACAUCUUUUCAGUUCCAUUUUAUCCCGGACAUAACAUCAAUGAUCGCGAUCUCAUUAUUAUCAUGAACAUCAUCAGUACCUUGAACCUUGGCGUCCCAAGUCUCAUUAUUUGGUAACUGAGGUUCGGUUAUGUCAUGGGUACCCACCACGGUAACCUCGGAAUUAUUCUUAGCACCUUUCUUUGUUUCCGAGGGUUUUUUUUAUCUUUGGAACUUAUUGGUCUGCCUCGUUUCAUACGGGCCUUAGACUCUGUAGCAACU